rnacentral:lncRNA from 1 species
GUUUCGAUCAUGAGUUGAUCGAGAGGGUAUAUUGCUUGGCCGGUUAGCCAAGAGAGAUAUGGUUAUGGAGAUCUGAGAUGGUGAUGUAUCAGCAUUGUAUUAGUUUAUCUCAUUCUUAGUAGUUGCUUCAUCAUGGUAGUUGCUAAUUAAUUAACCUGUUGGCUAUGUUAUUGUCUUGCCUUGAUGUUUAUGGUUGUUGUGAGCUUGCAAGUACAUUCAAUGUACUGACCUGGCGUGUCAUGCCAGAUUGCAGGUGAUGACGUGAUUGCUUGAUUGCUUGUCGUGGUUUCCGUUCAUGCGAGCUAGAUCGUCUCCCAGCCAGAGUCCCUACGGAGUGGAGUUCACCACCUUCAUUGUUGUUCCGCAGCUAGAAGUUUUCCGCUGCUACGAGAUGUUCCGCUGCUAGCAUAGAGCAAUUGUAGUGUCGCAGGCAUAGUGUCGCCAUGCUGAUGUGAUCAUUGUAACAUCAGACCCGUGUAAUUAUUAUUCUUGUAAUGAGAGCUGAUUUGUUCUAUGUCAAGCAGUGCCGUAUUCCAAAGACUUCUCCUUGAUCUCUGGGCUGGAAUACGGGGUGUUCCGGUUUCUCUGAGCCGGAGUGCCACAGGCUUGGUAUCAGAGCAGGUCUGGCUGUAGGAUGCCCUAGUCAUCGUGAGCGGUAGAAACCGGUAGAAAUUGGUAGUUUAGAGUCUGGCGUGUUUAUUGCAUUUGGUUGCUGCAUUUGUUUGUUGCAUAGCAUGCAUGUAGCCUUAUUAUUUUGUUACUAACGGUUUAAUAUGGUGACUGUAGAUGGCAUCGGUCCGGAUCCACUACAGCCCAACUUUUGCAUUUCUCCAGUUUUCUUUUCAUGCUCAUUCUUCGAUGUUUGGCGUCAUUUCUGUCUCCAGCAGAGUGAUGCCCAGUGAUCCUGACAUUGUUUGCAAAAAUGGUGCUCAGGUAUCGCGCCGAAUUAUUUCCUUCAGCCCCACCUUUUGUGUCGGUGGUAGACAUGCUUCUAUCAUGGAUCAUCCUUCUUCUUGUCAUUUUGGCAACCCUUAAUGAUCAUAGUUAUCAAGAAAGGGCAAUGUCAGCAGCCUCAGUUUUUCCUCCCUAUCCUAUUCCUUCGACGCGUACGGGCCUUUUUCCGUCCACUUGAUAAUAAUGUGGUUGCGACUUCGUGUCCCACUAUAUGAUUACCGAAUGCAUCCUCGCCUCUGAGCAAGUCCAGGUUGCUACCUGGCUAAGCUAGCACUUGAUGUAGUGCUGCUUACACCAAUUUUUCCACACAUUUAUUUGUCCUCGUGGACAAUGUCACAGCAUGCUAGAUCGUAGAGCCGGAGAUCCCGCGAGAAUUGUGUGCUUAAGUAGGCAUGCAUAUUGUGUGACUAGCAGUAAUAUGUGACAUUGAUUGUGUGUGAAUUGAUUGUUCUUGUGUGUUUUUGUUUAGUUGAGUUUUCUUUUUCUUCUUUCUUUUUGGGCCCCGGUGUUACAUUAUUUUUUCCCCUAUAAAGAGUUGCUCAUCAACUGACACCGGACUUGAAGAAUUAAUAAGUAUUUCAAAUAUUUGGAAGAAGCUCAGCUAAACAUUAUGGCCUUCUCAGUCGACCGCAUGAUUUAAGGAAUAUCUGCCCAGAAUACCAAUUGUGUCUUGGAUUGAUUAUCCGCAUCAAUUCUAUAGCAGUAAUGAUCCAGCCAGCAGAAAGACAAGUCAGAUGCAAGACCAACGGUAUAUUUUUCAGUCAAAGGUAUGGAUCAUAGGAAAUGUUUUGGCUCACCAAUAUAUGGUACUUGAAAUAUGUUAUACUCCAAGAGAAAGUCAGGAUGUGAUAUGCUCAAGGAAGACAGUCAAACAAAUUUUUUUCAUGCAAAUAAUCAGCCGCAAAAUAUUAUGGAAGUGUGCAUGGAUUUCAGUCUGCAUAUCGGUACGAAGUUUGGACAUAAGAAACCUAGCAUUAUUCCACACGCUAUUGGAAGAAAUUUAUGAGGCAAGGCUCCUCAAAUUUUUCCUCAGCAUGAUAUGUGAAUAAUUUCUGGUCCAUGAUAUCCGGUCUUUCUCAACAAGAUACCUCAGUAAAAGCUUCCGACAGGCGGGAAAUGAAUUUUUCCCAACAAGCAAAACCGAGGAGAAGCUUCUCAAGUACGGAAACCCGGCUUCUCCUGCACACUACUCAGGUCAAGCUUUGUGUGUAAGCUAUCAAGGCUUCUUCUGCAUGCUACCUAGACAAAAGCUUCGAGUAGAAGCUAAUGAGUCUUCCUCAGCAAGCUACUUGGAUGGCUAACCUCGUAAGCCACCCAGUCCGCAUCAAUACCACACUAUGCACCAUCCUCAGAGAUUAUAUGAUGAGUUGGCAGUAUAUGGCAGUACAUCUCAAGGAUCAGAUUUGCAAUGAUUUUGUUAGAGGAACAAUUCAGUCAAAACAUACGCCUGCCGCAAUAAUAUGUUAUUCAGUUGCAUAUGAUUGGUACGCAUGUAUCCCGAGUCAGAUCGAUCACUUAUGCGGGAUAUGACACCACUCCAGCAGAUAUACCUAAGAAAGCAAUGAGCUCCGUACGGCUACAAACCCCGAGUAUAUGUCAUAUAUGUGCGAACACAGGUCAGAAAAACAAGCACAAGGAAUAAUGUCAAAAAUAUUAACCACAUCCAUGGUCAUACAAAGAAUCAAGGACAUGUGUGGCCAAGUUAUUUCAGCAAGGUAUCCUGACAAAGAAAAUCAUGACCGUUAAACGGUGAGACUGACAGCAAAGGUAUGAUGUAUUUUACACGACCAUCAGGGUCUGGAUACCCAAAUCAGUUGGAUGCCAUAAUUCCAUAUGGAUCCACAAAGACAUACACCUUCAGCGGCCUACUCUAUUUACAAGGAUUUUCAUAUCAUGCUGACCCGCUUGAUAUGGUUAGUGUGGAAUAUCCAAGUCUGUUCUAUCAGAUCCAAGAUUCCUUUGCAACCUCAACAGUUUGACCUCAAGGGCAGAGUUAAAACAUAUCACAGCAUAUUGUCAAAAAUGGGUAUACCAACAAGAUGAGAAAGUCAAAAGCCGAAUAAUCAGCUCAGACCUGGUAUACUCACCAACGGGAUCUAGUACACGGUUAGUCUAUUAGGGAAAGCAUUCAUCUGUCAGCCCCUAUCGGCAAAGUCUCAAGAUAUAAAUAUUUGAGGUAUGACAUAGCUAUAACUCCAUGCACCGCUAUAUUGCUCACGACAGAAGGCAGUCAAACCUCUAGUGUAUGCCACAUGUUCGAGCCAAAGGAAAUAAAACAACAUAAAUCGGUGCACCUAUAAGUAGUUAGAUCCCGUCAGAAGAUGGCCAUGAUUAAUUCUAAGCAUUUAUUGAACCCAGAAGGCUUGCAUUUAUUUGAAGCAACCCCAUUACAGAAAUAAAAAGGUUCGUGACAAAAGGAAAUUUAUGCUCAGAUCCGUUGGGCAUCACAGCAGAUAUGAUAAAAUCAACAUCAGCAACAGGAAUUGGUAUAUGAGCAAAGACCCAUCAAAAUUUGGGAAAAACCACCCCACAGCAAGGUAAGUUAAUCAUCUGAAAUUCUUGGGGGAACAAUAAAUAAAAGAAAAUGGAUGCCCAAGUUGAAAACGGUAUCCUCAAGUCAUACUUGUUACCAAAGUAACUAAAUAUCGAGGACGAGAUUUCUUUAAGGGGGUAAGAGUUGUAACAGCCUGGAUUUUGGCCCUUUUCUUUUUCUUUUUGACUUAUUGGCUUUUGCUCUGUUUUUCUUUUUGGAGUGGUUCUGUGGCCUGGUCACCUGGGAAAUCAUCCUCAUUUCCCUCCCAAGUGGCUCAUCAUUCUCAAAACCUUGCAAAGAUCAAUUCACUUCACUCCUUGACCAAACCCUAAAAUGUUUUUCUCAGGAAUAUUCCUUUUUCUAUUAAAGGAAUAACCCUGUUUGCCCUAGGUUGUGAAGCAACCUUUAUUUCCAUCACUCCUAAAAUUCCCAAAUAAUUCUCAUAAAUUGUUUGGGUCAUAUAUUUCUCAAAUAUGGCAAAAUAUUUCAUUUUUCAUGUUUAUCCUGUUGCUCAAUUAAUUCAUUUCCUAUUCUGCCCUAAAUGGCACAUUGAGAAGCAAGUGCUAUUUUCCUUUGCCCAAUUUACCUAAAACUCCUUGGACCCCUUUUCCUGUCCAUAUCAUUGCCACAUGCCAAAGUGCAACCUCAUUUUCCUAGUAAUUAUUUAAUUAUGAUUUUCCAUAGUUCCUGUCUGAGGGAAGUGGUUGUGAAGGAAGUACAAGCUAGGCAUAUCCAAAUGAGUUGCCCUUUUCCAUGAUCCCUCAUAUCAUCAUAUCAUAGCCCUUUACCAAAGUAGAGCUCAUGUCAUGCCUCCAUGUGAGCUCACGUUCAAUUCUUUGAUGCUGCCCAAAAUUUCAGUUUGUGAAGCAAGUAUAUUUUAUCUUGCUCCAUUAUGGCUGCCAAUUUUUCUAGGCCUUCUAUUAUCCAUAUAACCUACCUCAACCCAUUUUGGGCAGGUUUCAUCAAGCCAUUUUUCCUCUAGAAGUUUUGCAAGUUUUUGGUUAGCAAGGAUGUUGGUGAAGCAAGUACCAUUUUGGUGAAUCCAAUUGGUAUGAAACUUAUACAACAUCUUUAUAUGAUCAAAUCAUGAAGCCUUGCCAAAAUUGAGCUCAAGUGGCCACACCAUUUGAGUGCAUCAUCCAAAUCUCAUUUCUGGACCAUUUUGGUCAGUUGCAAAGCAACUAUGAUUAAACUUGAUCCAAUUCUUCUCCAAGUUACCAGGAUGAAAGUACUUCUUUACCACAACCCCGCAGACAACUCCAUUGCUCCCACAACCUUUUCUAUUGGUCAGUAGUUCUCAAUCAAGUUUACUGCAGUAAACUUCAGAGGUUGCUUACCUUUUAACCAGAGCCGUUUUCACCGAACUACCACCACGGUUGCAACCUCCCCUGGAUGGACUACACCCUAGACAACGUUUGCCCACCCUUGGCAUCUUCUCCUCGCCAGUCUGCACGGUGACCACUGACUUGGCAUGCAGUGCGCGCGUCCAGAAUGGCUUCUUGCUCGGGCCCCUCCUCUGCUCGGCGUCUCAGCGAGCAUGAGCAUGUCAAACUGUUUUACCAUGUCGUCGCCCUCUUCCUGGACCUCUUUCCCCCUCCGUAAAAGCCCUCGCCGACGCUCACCGACGCUCGCCCAUGGGUGCACUGUGGCCGACCGAGCUUUAAUGGUGCUCGACUUCUUCCUCUGCUCCCCAGCGUCGUCUACCUCUCCGUGAUCCCUGCAUUAAUAGCUCGUCGCCUUCCCAAGCCCUCCCCGUGCCUCUGCUCGCGUGUAGCGACCAGACCUCAAACAGUCCGAUCUCUGUGCUUCAGUGUCAUCCCUGGAUCAGUAAUGCUGACAUGCACAGUACUUGAAGGAUUUAUAACAGAGUAGCAAUCACACACUAAUUACAUCGAAUGUCUCAAAAGAGAACUUAUUAGUAUAAAUAUGGCUUAAGGCCAUCUAAUAACUAUAACAACGAAAGGCUUGGAAGAUAAGUGAGUCCAUCAACUCCACCGGCAUCACUGAGUAUAGAACCACGACCUAAAGGCACCUUACUCGUUGUCUGAAAAGUCUGCAACAUGAACGUUGCAGCCCGAAAACGGGUCAGCACAUGGAAUAUGCUGGCAAUGUAACACAUGGAGAAUAGUGAACAUAAUAGGCUAUACUACAUGCAUAUAUGGCUGGUGGAAAGCUCUAUGGUUAUAGUUGUGCAUAAAGCCAGUUUUUCCCUACUGCAAAGGAAUACAUUUUAUUUAACUAUCAUGGUGGUUGUUAAACAUUGAGAGUGUAGAUGCCCUCUCAAUCCCAAUUAAACAUCAACAUUAAAACCCAACAAAAUUCAUUAAAGUCACAUGAUGAGAUUCACAUGAUAAUCCAAGUACUAGAUACUCAAAACUGUCCAUAACCGGGGACACAUCUAACCAUGAUUAGUUUAUACACUCUGCAAAGGUUUGCGCACUUUUCCCCACAAGACUCGAUCUCCUCCGUUGGGAUUCUCGCACUACAUGGUGUUUGAGAAAACGGGUGACCGAGACAUAGUCUUUAAGAAGCGCUAGCACCUUACGAUCGGGAAGACCGUUACACCUACUUUCCCCUACAUCUGCUAGUCUACCAUUGUAAGAGUUCACACGAAUUAAUCAACUAUGCUAGAGCCCAUUGUCAGUGUCAAAACCGGCGGAUCUUGGGUAGGGGGUCCCGAACUGUGCGUCUAGGAUGGAUGGUAACAUGAGGCAAGGGACACGAAGUUUUACCCAGGUUCGGGCCCUCUCGAUGGAGGUAAAACCCUACGUCCUGCUUGAUUAAUAUUAAUGAUAUGGGUAGUACAAGAGAUCGGAGAGGCUAAACCCUAGAAGCUAGCCUAUGGUAUGAUUGUUGUUUUGUAUGUUGUCCUAUGGACUAAAACCCUCCGGUUUAUAUAGACACCGGAGAGGGUUAGUGUUACACAAAGUCGGUUACAAUGGUAGGAGAUCUACAUAUCCGUAUCACCAAGCUUGCCUUCCACGCCAAGGAAAGUCCCUUCCGGACACGGGGCGAAGUCUUCAAUCUUGUAUCUUCAUAGUCCAGGAGUCCCGCUGAAGGUAUAGUCCGGCUAUCCGAACACCCCCUAAUCCAGGACUCCCUCAGUAGCCCCUGAACCAGGCUUCAAUGACGACGAGUCCGGCGGGCGGAUUGUCUUCGGCAUUGCAAGGCGGGUUCCUCCUCCAAGUACUUCAUAGAAGAUUUUGAACACAAAGAUAGUGUCCGGCUUUGCAAAAUAAGUUUCCACAUAUUGCCAUAGAGAGAAUAAUAUUUACACAAAUCUAAUAUGCUGACGUAUUCUGUAGUGUGACACACCACGGCCAAGCCUUUAUCCCACCUCAGCGCGUCAUGCGAGGCGGUUUCCUUGGCACGUCUUGUUAAAGCAGAGAUCGUGUCCUCUUAUUCUAGGAUUCUCAUCAAUACGGGCGUGGGUAACCCAACCGUGCCAUUGAUUACGGCGCUUGGAGAUAAGCGAGUUUUACCAGGCUGGUGGGGACACGUAGUUGCGUCCACCCAUAUAAGGGCAUAAGGAUCCACCUUUUCACCUACGCCUUCUUCCUCCCUUGCUUAUCCAUUCUCGCACACUCGAGCUCCAGCGCCCAAGUCCGCACUCCCCACCUCAACCUUCUCCAGCCAUGUCCGGAGCGGGAGGCAAGUGGAUGGUCUCCUCCGUCAUGGAGGGACACAUCAAAAAACUGAGGAAGGCCGGAUACUUGUCUAACGACAUCGCGUACCGGCUUCCUGAAAAGGGGCAGCUCAUCCCCACCCCUAGGCCCCAUGAGAGGGUGGCGUUCCUCCCCCAUUUCCUCUGCGGACUAGGCUUCCCUCUUUACCCAUUUGUCCGGGGGCUCAUGUUCUACUAUGGCCUGGAUUUCCACGAUCUGGCCCCAAACUUUGUCCUCAACAUCUUGGUGUUUAUCGUCGUGUGCGAGGCUUUCCUCCGCAUCCGCCCCCAUUUCGGCCUAUGGCUCAAGACUUUCAAUGUCAAGCCGAAGGUGGUGCGCGGCAACCAGGCGGAGUGCGGAGGCGCCAUGAUGGGCAAGAUGCCCAACGUCUUAUGGCUCGAGGGCUCCUUUGUGGAGACCCUGAAGGGGUGGCAAUCGGGGUGGUUUUACAUCAUCGAGCUGCGCGACCCCGAAUGGCUCGCAGCCCCCGAGUUUCGAUCCGGACCCCCUACGCGGCUCACCUCCUGGAAGGAGACGGGCCUGUCGUGGGGUAAGAAAGGAGAGCUGACCAGACUCCAAACAUGCAUCCAAACCCUGGUGGGCAAGAAGCUCAAACUUGUCAACGUAGUCCAGGUUAUGCUCAUCCGCCUGAUCCUCCCGUGUCAACAAAGGGCUUUCAACCUGUGGGAGUUCGACCCGAUGCGGCACCGAACUCUGAGCAGGCUCUUCGACACGACGUACGAAGAUGCCUGGAAGGUGCUUUUCAAGGGCGCCGAGGCCCCCGCAUCCGCUGGCGAGGAUCACGGAUUCAGUACGCAGCGUCACGCUCAUGCGGUAAGCUGUUUUUUCCUUUUACAAGGUAUCAGUUUUUCAUAGUUUGACUCCAUGCGUGAUCUAAGCUUUGAUCAACUGUCCGGCUCCUUUGCCCGAAGGCCCAGCGGACGCUCGCUUGGCGAAGCUGCUGGUUCCGACACCACAUAGGGUGCCAGAGAAGAAGGCGGUGAAAAAGGCCACGGGGACUCGAAAGAGUGCCCGGCGCCAGGAGGUGUCGGAUCCAUCAUCCGACGGUUCUGAGGCGCAUUCCUCCUGUGAAGACGAGGAGGAAGAAGAAGAGACCUCUGCCCCUCCAGCGGGAGGAGAGAAGAGGCCACCCUCUCUGGGGAGGCCAAAGGGUCCAAGAAGGGGAAAACCCUUGCUCCGGACUACUUCACCGACGCCGACGACGGCGGAGACGAGUGGCCGCCCAGGGCCAAGCCCCUGGCUAAAUCGUAAGUAUCCGGAUACCAGAGUAAUUCAUAGUAUUCGUUUAUUGCAAAACUUUCCCUUAUGUCGAAUAUGUCUAUGCAGCCCACCCAAAGACCGGCUCGACGCAUCGUCGAGCGGCUCACUGGACUUGUCGGAUGUGAACUCGCUUCCGACGGCUUCCUCCCCCUGUCCUACGGACGACACCGAAGUGUUGUCCCAACAGGUUCCAAGCUGGGAGGAAGUGGUCCUGGAGGCGCCGCAAGGCGACCUCCCGGACUCCAAGAGUAAAGGGGAUGAAACCCCCCAGGGCUCCAAGUCCGGCUCUAGGCCGGACACCGCUCCAGAACCUUCAAAGGUUCCAGAGUCCGGCGGGGGACCUCCUUCCGAGAGGAGCAAGCCCACUGUGACGGUCACCCCCGUCCAACCGGAGGCGCCAGACAAUCUGUUGGGGGCACUCCAAGGCACCUCCAUCGACGAGGAGCACCGCACCAUUAUGAGUGCGGUGGUCCAGAAGGUUCAGUCUGCCAAGAGCAGACUGACUGAAGCUUGUACUAGCCUUUUAACAGGCUUUGAGGUAAGUAAAGAAUGUGUAAAUAAUAUUACCGCAUAGACAGUAGCGCCUGAUGCUCUGUUUGGCGUUCAGGAAGAAAAGCCGAAUAGAGGAUCAAAUAAAAUUCACAGGAGUCUAACAAAAAGGAGUCAAUAUGCGUAUGCAGGAUUCUCUGCUUGCAUCCGCCGCAUUGACUGCGGAAGUGGACACGCUAAAGCAGAACCUCGAGCGGUCUGAGCAAGAGCUCGGGCGUGCCAAGAAGCAACUCGAGGACAAUGAAGGUAAGAAAUACCUUGUUUAAAUAUAUAUAUAAAGGUGCAAUUGCAAAAAAUGACAGGAUUAUCGUGGCUUCUGUAGGGGCCACGUCUGAGGUGGCGACCCUUAAGCAAGCGCUGGUCGAGGCCGAGAAGAGGGCAGCCACGGAGCACACCGAGCAGGAGGAGUAUGAGGCCGAGGUUGGCAAGGUGCGGCAAGAGCUCCAGGCUCUCAUGGAAAACAUGAGAGUUUGGAGCUUGACUCAAAGACGCGAGCGUCCGAGCUCGCGGUGGCUAUUGAAAAUGCCAAGUCUGCCAAGGCCGAAUCCCAGAACACCCUCCAGGAGUUGUAUGAGGUGAAGAAGAUAGCAGCGGGUAAGGCAUUCUUUAUGCAAAGAAAACACAUAAACAUGAGUUACUUGUUACUUACCCGAAUCCGGAGCUCUCCAGGAGCGUUCGUAGAUCUUCCCCGGAGUGUGUCUGAUGCCGCCGCAUUCUAUCGAGCCGAGGAGGGCAGCUCGACAGAGAAGGUGUUCUGGUCUCAGUAUGCUGAGGCCGAACACCCCGUGCUUCUGAGCGACCAGCUGAAGCAACUGGUCGAGCUCCACAAGGCGGCCGAACAGGCCAUGAAGGGCCUCAUAGUUUGGCUGUGGCCUGGAGAGGCUCUGCCUGGGAGCUAUUUCGGGCUGGUGCGGCGGCUGGUGGAGGCCUAUCCAAGGCUCGAAGUCAUCAAGCGCUCCGUCUGCAUUGAAGGUGCCCGUAGGGCCCUUUCCCGUGCGAAGGUGCACUGGGGCAAGCUGGAUAUUGAAAAGCUUGUGAAGGACGGGCCACCGCCGGGGAAAGAGCAUCGCAAGCCCGAGAAUUAUUAUAAGAAUGUUCUGAAGGGUGCCUGCCUUAUGGCGGAUGAAUGUUCUAGGGAUGUAAUUUUUGAGUGAAACUUGCUCGUUUUGUCCCGUGCGCUGAAAAAUUGUUCAUAUGAGCUAAGCAAUGUUGUUGGAAUUUAAAAUAUUACCUUCUAUGCAGUUGUUUAUCAAUUCUGAGAGAUGGCGAGUCGUCAGCUUCUACCCCCGUGCCGCUAGUGCUGGGGUGUUCUGGGAUAAACCUGAGCGCUCUUUUUCCCAUGUUUGGGUCCUUCGAGGGAGGCGCUCAGCCCAACGAACAAGGCAAUCGGACUAUAAUGUGUGAACACUCUCACUUAGCCAUAGAAUUCUAUAAUUUUAACUUUCGGCGAAGCCCCUGGUAUUAGGAAGACCGAGUUCGGGGCGCUAUCCAUGCCUUGGACGGACAGAGCCGACUCCUCGCUCUAAGCGGCAUAAGUCUUUAGGGACUCGAAAACCUCUCGAACAGUGACCAUCUCUCGCUUCAUCAUGACAGUCAGUUUUAGCUUUCUCCACUGAGGUGCUCGACCCAGCUCAACUGGGGUACAAUCGCAGUGGUUCUCCUAGUGCUACCUUAGCCGAUAUAGCGGAACGUAAGGCACCAAAACAUAGGAGCCGGGCAAACCCAACUAUUGACCCAAGACAUGAUUCGGAGCCGAUGCAUAUAAUGCUAUAAGUUCGGGGUGCCGCACUUGUUAAAGUGUUCGGACUUCUCACACCAUAUUGAUGGGUACUAAAGCCCCUGGCGUAUUUUGGCCGUACCAAAGUGUACGGGUGCAACAUGUCGUUGAGGAACAUAUAAAAAAAGAGUAAUGCAAAAAUAGACAAAAGCUAUGCAUUGUUUAUUAAAGAGGGCUGCGAUCAAAGCAGAACGAUACAAAUAAUGCGAUAAGCAAAAGGUUGGACUAUGUAACAUGUCCGUUCUAGGGGCAAGCUGCGGAAUAGUAUGCAAAACAGGUAUACUGCUCGUGAUAGAGACCACCUGGGAGUUCCGUAAUGCGGCGUGGCUUGUCUGCUUCCCUGGUUCUUGCAUCGUUUGUGCGGCAAUUAAACUGCCGAACAUGCCUUCCGAAGAGUGGAGUCCUGAAAGUAUGAGAAAAUUAAAAAAUCGGCAGCCCCUGGUGCAGUUUAAGCCAUGUUUCGGGCGUGCCGUGAUGGUGCCCCUCCCCCUGUACCCAUGGUAUUUCUAGAGUGUAGUUAUGUACGCGAAGUACUGGUGUCGCAUUUUUGCGAGGGCUGGGGUUGGGGCCGCAUUGCUACGCCUGCUCGGAUCGUGCCAGGCGGUCUUGUUGUAGGUUACUCCGGGCACGCUUGACGGUGUCCGGUCGUUUAAUGGCCGGACUGGAGAACUGCCUGGAGAGGCUGCUUUGUACUUCCGCUGCAAGGGCCUCCGUGUGCUCCUCCAUUCGGAGGGAGCGUUCGGUGUUUCCAUUGACCGUAAUUACUCCUCGAGGGCCUGGCAUUUUGAGCUUAAGGUAUGCGUAGUGCGGUACCGCAUUGAACUUGGCGAAUGCGGUUCGCCCGAGCAGUGCGGGAUAGCCACUGUGGAAUGGGACUAUGUCGAAGAUUAACUCCUCGCUUCGGAAAUUAUCCAGAGAUCCGAAGACCACUUCAUGUGUGACUGAGCCUAUACAGUUGGCCUCUACACCUGGUAUUACGCCUUUAAAGGUCGUUUUUGUGGGCUUAAUCCUCGAGGGAUCUAUGCCCAUUUUCCGCACUGUAUCCUGGUAAAGCAGGUUCAGGCUGCUGCCGCCGUCCAUAAGGACUCUAGUGAGAUGAAAUCCAUCAAUAAUUGGGUCUAGAACCAAUGCGGUGAAUCCGCCAUGACGGAUGCUAGUGGGGUGGUCCCUUCGAUCAAAGGUGAUCGGGCAGGAGGACCAUGGGUUGAACUUUGGGGUGACUGGCUCUACCGCGUAUACAUCCCUUAAUGCGCGCUUCCGCUCCCUUUUGGGGACGUGGGUUGCGUAUAUCAUGUUCACCGUCCGCAAUUGUUGGGGGAAACCCUUCUGUCCACUGUUGUUCGGCGGCCGGGGCUCCUCAUUGUCAUCGCUAUGCAGCCCCUUGUCUUCAUUUUCGGCAUUUAACUUGCCUGCCUGCUUGAACACCCAACAAUCCCUGUUGGUGUGAUUGGCCGGCUUUUCGGGGGUGCCAUGUAUCUGGCACAAGUGGUCGAGUAUUCGGUCCAAACUGGACGGGCCCCUAGGAUUCCUUUUGAAUGGAUUUUUCCGCUGACCGGAUUUAGAACCUUUGAAUCCGGCAUUAACUGCCGUACCCUCAGCAUUGUCACUGUUAAUGCGGCGCUUCUGCUUGUUGCGACGCGACCUGCCAAUACUAUCCCUGAUAUCUGAAUUACCAGGGUUCUUGGUCAUAUUGUUGCUAUGAGCAAGCCAGCUGUCUUCUCCCGCGCAAAAGCGGGUCAUGAGUGUCGUGAGUGCUGCCAUAGACUUCGGCUUUUCCUGUCCAAGGUGCCGGGCAAGCCACUCGUCACGGAUAUUGUGCUUGAAGGCUGCUAGGGCCUCAGCGUCCGGACAGUCGACUAUUUGAUUUUUCUUUGUUAGGAACUGUGUCCAGAAUUGCCUGGCCGAUUCCCCUAGCUGCUGAAUUACGUGACUUAGGUCAUCAGCGUCUAGGGGUCGCACAUAAGUGCCCUGGAAAUUGUCGAGGAAUGCGGCUUCCAGGUCCUCCCAACAACUGAUUGAUCCUGUUUGCAAGAUGUUAAGCCAAUGCCGAUCUGGUCCUUUAAGCUCGAGUGGGAGGUAUUUGAUGGCGUGGAAAUCAUCGCCGCGGGCCAUGUGGAUAUGAAGGAGAUAAUCCUCGAUCCAUACCGCAGGAUUUGUUGUGCCAUCAUAUGAUUCGAUGUUUACAGGUUUGAAACCCUCGGGGAUUUGAUGAUCCAUUAUUUCGCCUGUGAAGCAUAGUGGGUGUGUGGCGCCUCUGUACUGGGCUAUAUCACGACGUAGCUCCAAUGAGCUUUGUCUACUGUGUUCGGCCCUACCGAAUUUGUGGCCGGCGUGACGGUUACCGCCUCGAGCCGUGGGGCACCCACGCGAUCCGUAGAUCAAUCUUGUUUGCCUUGCCUUGUCCUCCAACAUAUCUCGUAAGUUCGGCGCAUAUUCCCGUGCCUUGGUAUGGGGUCCGGCUUGAGUGGAGGGCCGAGAGGCCUCUCUGUCGCGGCCACGAGGUGGCCGGUCGGCCGCAUCAAGUGCUUCCUCCUCUAAUCGGGGUAGCAACCUGCGCUUUGGGUAGCUCUUGGAGGGGUGUUCGAGUUUAUGCUCUUCUGCCGCAAGGACUUCAGUCCAUCUGUCGACUAGCAAAUCUUGAUCAGCUCUAAGCUGUUGCUGUUUUUUCUUGAGGCUUCUUGCUGUGGCCAUAAGCCUGUGUUGAAAACGCUCUUGCUCGACGGGAUCCUCUGGCACAACAAAUUCGUCAUCGUCGAGGCUUGCCUCGUCUUCGGAGGGAGGCAUAUAAUUAUCGUCCUCGACCUCUCUGUCUGCCGCUCUCUCAUGAGGGCUGGUUUCUCCAUCCUCCUGUGCUAAAUCUUGCUGGAGGGGGGUUUCUUUGGCACUUUCUGGAGUAUUAUUAUCUCCCGUGCUGGAAUCAUCGUAUUUGUUUUGGCGGGAUUUUGAGCGGCGCUGCUGACGCCGGCGCUUAGGCUGUUUCUUGGAGGCAUCAUCCUCCGCUGUUCCAUCGCCAUCUCCUUCUUUUGGGGUGUCCACCAUGUAUAUGUCAUAUGACGAGGUGGCUUUCCAGGGCCUGAUAGGCGCUGGUUCUACAUCGUCUCCUUCAUCGGCGUCCAUACCGUCGAUGUCUUCGUAGUCGAAGUCGAGCAUGUCGGUUAAAUCGUCGACAGUGGCUACAAAGUGGGUGGUGGGUGGGCUUUGAAUUUCUUCAUCGUCCGUAUCCCAACCUUGCUGACUGUAGUCUGGCCAGGGCUAUCCUGAUAAAGAGAGAGACUUCAGUGUCUUUAGAACAUCGCCGAAAGGCGAGUGCUGAAAGAUGUCCGCGGCAGUAAACUCCAUGAUCGGCGCCCAAUCGGAUUCGAUUGGCAGGGGCACGGAGGGUUCGGAGUCCGGAGAGGAGUCCGGCUCCUUGGAGUCAUGAGUCUCGCAGAGUGCGGGGCUGGUGUUCGGCUUGAUCGCCGUUGGGAUCGCAGCCCCCGAGGUGGCGUCCAACCACCCAUCCUCGAUCGGCGCAGUUGGCUCUGAAUUAAGGGUCGAAGCCGAUGCGGGUGCGGCCUCCAGGGCACUGUUCGGCGGCAGAGCUAGAUCAUGCUCGUCGUGACAGUGCGGCGCGCUCGGCAGUGGCUCGAAUCCGUGGAAGAUCAAGUCCCCGCGGAUGUCAGCCGUGUAGUUUAAGCUUCCAAAUCUGACCUGACGGCCAGGGGCAUAGCUUUCGAUCUGCUCCAUAUGGCCAAGUGAAUUGGCCCGCAGUGCGAAGCCGCCGAAGACGAAGAUCUGUCCGGAGAGGAAGGUCUCACCCUGGACUGCAUCACCAUUGAUGAUCGUAGGAGCCAUCAAGCCUGAUGGCAACGACACAGAGGAACUAUCAAUGAAAGCACCAAUGUCGGUGUAAAAACCGGCGGAUCUCGGGUAGGGGGUCCCAAACUAUGCGUCUAGGCCGGAUGGUAAUAGGAGGCAAGGGACACGAAGUUUUACCCAGGUUCGGGCCCUCUCGAUGGAGGUAAAACCCUACGUCCUGGUUGAUUAAUAUUGACGAUAUGGGUAGUACAAGAGUAGAUCUACCAUGAGAUCGGAGAGGCUAAACCCUAGAAGCUAGCCUAUGGUAUGAUUGUUGUUCUGAAUGUUGUCCUACGGACUAAAACCCUCCGGUUUAUAUAGACACCGGAGAGGGUUAGGGUUACACAAAGUCGGUCACAAUGGUAGGAGAUCUACAUAUCUGUAUCACCAAGCUUGCCUUCCACGCCAAGGAAAGUCCCUUCCGGACACGGGACGAAGUCUUCAAUCUUGUAUCUUCAUAGUCCAGGAGUCCGGCUGAAGAUAUAGUCUGGCUAUCCGAACACCCCCUAAUCCAGGACUCCCUCACCCAUAGUGGCUUGUGGCUGCACACGGAAGUUUCUAGCAUGAAUAAUCUCAUUAUCCCUUUGAGCCUGGGUGGCGGUCCAUAAAGAAAAACAGGCAAUCGCUGGAAUACCCAGGUGCCUCAAUCUACCCAGAUGUCUAUUUAAGUUGCCACCUUAAGUUGAACCAUUAAUUAACAAUCUCACAUCUGUCAUGGAUACACUCAAACCCAAUCCACGUCUACAAGCAUAGCAUGGCAAUAUAAGCAAACGUAGAAGUAACUCCCAAGGGUUUGAUAAUAAAACAGGUAAUAAGUACUACCUCAUCUACUUCCCAAAACCCACAUAUUAAUCAGAUCCUAUUCAUGCAAAUGUUUGAGGAUUUAUCUAAUGCAAUAAAACUGGGUAGUAAGAGGUAUGAUCCAAGUGUUACUUGCCUUGCUGAUGAUCCGUGAAACCUAGAGAUUCGAAGUAGCAAGCGGCACACUCUGGGUACUCUAACGUAAACAAACAAACAAGCAUACAAUAAGUACUCAUCUAAUGCACGGGUAAAACUCAAAUAAGAGAUCUAAUUAGAAACUUCAACUUAAGAACUUCGGUUUGCAAAAAGAAACAAAUCAAACGAAACAACGGAAAGCAAACGGCAAAAAAAACUUGUUUGAGUUGGUUAAACAGAAAGAGGAUUUCGAGACGAAACUCUAGGCGCUUGAAUCGCCUGAUUCAGAUAAACGAGCGAAAAGUUAAACUAAAACGAAAAUCGGAUCAGAAAUCACGAUCAGAAAUAAUCGUGGGAAAAUCCAAGAAAAAUAAAAACGGCGAACAGGCUAACGAACGAACGUUCGCUGUCUGCGGCUAAACGAUGAAUACCAUUCGUAAAAACGAACGAAAAAGCGUUCGUUCGCUAAAUAACUAAACCGACGAAAAUAAACCGAACUGGAUCUAAAAAACGGAUCUAGGUUUUAAAAAACCAAUCGGUUUUCUUUGCGGAAAUCGAGGCAAUGGCGGCUACCUCGGGCGGCUCCGGCGAGACGAAGGCGGCGGCGGCACGGCUCCGGUGCGGCGGCGCGGGGCAGCGGGUGAUGGCGGCGGCUCCNNNNNNNNNNNNNNNNNNNNNNNNNNNNNNNNNNNNNNNNNNNNNNNNNNNNNNNNNNNNNNNNNNNNNNNNNNNNNNNNNNNNNNNNNNNNNNNNNNNNNNNNNNNNNNNNNNNNNNNNNNNNNNNNNNNNNNNNNNNNNNNNNNNNNNNNNNNNNNNNNNNNNNNNNNNNNNNNNNNNNNNNNNNNNNNNNNNNNNNNNNNNNNNNNNNNNNNNNNNNNNNNNNNNNNNNNNNNNNNNNNNNNNNNNNNNNNNNNNNNNNNNNNNNNNNNNNNNNNNNNNNNNNNNNNNNNNAGGGCGGCGGCGGCUAGGGUUUCGGGGCUGUGGCGGCUGCGGUGCGGCUCGGGCCCUCGCGGCUUUAAAGGCCUGCCGGGCCAAGUGUCCUAGUCGGACACGACCCGGUUAGGUCGGUUCGUUGUUUUUUAAAUAAUUUGACAUGCAGAAAAAGAAAGAACAGAAAUACUAAACAGACUCCAAAAAUCCCGAAAUAAAUUUUCCCCGACUUCUAAAAUCAAGCGGGACAAAGUGAACAUUUAUUUGGGGCCUAAAUGCAAUUUUGAAAAACGUGCAUUUUUCCUAAAUUCAAAUAAAAUAGCGAAAAACUCCAAAAUAAAAUCUUAUUUGAUUUUUAUUAAAUCCUCAAUAUUUCUUUAUUUUGGGAAAGUCAUUUUAUUCCCUCUCACUUAUUUUUAUAAUUGAAAUAAUUGAAUAUAAAAUAAAUAAAAACAAAUGAUCCUAUUUUCAAAAUUUGAGAAAACUCAAAUGAAAAUAACGAAAUCCCCAACAUUCCAAAUUGAAAAUAUGAUAUGCCAUGAUGAUCUAAUGUACAACAUUCCAAAUUGAGUUGCGUAGAAUUUCUGGAUCAGGCCCAAAAGCAAUAAAAUAUGAUAUGCCAUGAUGAACUAAUGUACAACAUUCCAAAUUGAAAAUUUGGGAUGUUACAAACCUAACCCCCUUAAGAUGAAUCUCGCCCUCGAGAUUCGGAUUGGCUAGAAAAUAGGUGAGGAUGGUCCUUCAGCAAAUCUUCCUCUCGAUCCCAGGUGGCUUCAUCCUCGGUGUGGUGGCUCCACUGAACUUUACAAAACUUGAUAACUUUUCUGCGGGUUACUCAGCUGGCAUAUUCGAGAAACUUGACUGGUUUCUCCUCAUAGGUCAAAUCACUAUCCAACUGAAUGGCUUCUUGCGGCACUGUAUCUCUCAGCGGUAUAUCAGCCAUCUCUGUGUGGCACUUCUUCAACUGGGAAACAUGGAACACAUCGUGAACUCCUGACAAUCCUUCGGGCAACACCAACUUGUAGGCAACUUCUCCCAUACGUUCCAAAACUUUGUAUGGUCCCACAAAACAUGGCGCUAACUUUCCCUUAACUCCAAAGCGCUUAACUCUCGAAGUGGAGAUACUCGAAGAUACACUCGGUCUCCGACUUCGUAAACUAUCUCCUUGCAUUAAGAAUCUGCAUUGCUCUUCUGCCUGGACUAGGCUACCUUGAGCCUAUCGCAAAUCAAUUUAACUUUUUGUUCAGACUCCUUAAUCAAAUCCGGUCCAAACAACUGGCGGUCUCCAACUUCAUCCCACGACAAUGGGGUCCUGCACCUCCUUCCGUACAAGGCUCCGAAAGGGGCCAUCUUCAAACUGGAUUGAUAACUGCUGCUGUAAGAGAACUCAGCAUAUGGCAAAUUGUCGUCCCAACUAGAUCCAUAAUCUAGCGCACAAGCUCUCAACAUAUCCUCCAAAAUCUGAUUGACUCUCUCGGUCGGUCCAUCUGUCUGUGGGUGAAAAGCUGUACUGAACUCUAGCCUGGUACCCAAAGUUUCGUGCAACUGAUUCCAAAACUUUGAGGUAAACUGGGUUCCUCUAUCGGAUACAAUGCUCCUCGGAACUCCAUGCAGUCAUGUAUAUCUUUGCCAACUUAGCACUGGUGUAAGUGGUCUUUACUGGGAUGAAAUGAGCUACCUUCGUCAAGCGAUCGACUACAACCAUAUCGAGUCAUAGCCUGAACGGGUCCUGGGUAAUCCCAUGAUAAAAUCCAUGCCUAGCUUAUCCCACUUCCAUUCGGGUAUCGGCAAUGGCUGUAGCAAUCCUGCUGGCUUCUGAUGCUCUGCCUUUACUCUCUGACAUACAUCACAAACUGCUACAUACUCUGUAAUAUCCUUCUUCAUUCUUGUCCACCAGAAAGUAUCCUUCAAAUCCAAAUACAUCUUGGUAUUUCCUGGGUGAAUCGAGUAUGGCGAAUCAUGGGCCUCUUGCAAAAUUAACUUCCUGAUCUCUGGGUCAUUAGGCACAUAAAUCUCUGGGUCAUUAGGCACAUAAACACGGUCCUCAAACCAUAAGGUAUCGUACUCAUCCUCACGAAAUCCUUUAGAUGUUCCUUUGCUCAACUUCUCCUUUAUAGAGGUAAUCUCCUUGUCGGUCUUCUAAGCUUCUCUGAUCUUAUCCAUCAAAGUAGACUGAAUCUCCAAUGCUGCAACGUAGCCUCUCGUAACUAUCUCCAAACACAGCUCACGAAGAUCCUCGACUAACUCCUUCGGUAAAUCUCCCGUCAUUAGUGUGUUGACGUGGCUCUUACGGCUCAACGCAUCGGCUACUACGUUAGCCUUUCCAGGGUGAUAAUGCAAUCUCAUAUCAUAAUCCUUGAUAAGCUCCAACCAUCUUCUUUGCCUGAGAUUCAACUCCUUCUGCGUGAAAAUGUACUUCAAACUCUUGUGAUCCGUGUACACCUCACAAUGGUUUCCAAUGAGAAAAUGUCUCCAAGUCUUCAAUGCGUGCACUACGGCUGCUAACUCCAAAUCAUGUGUAGCAUAAUUUAACUCAUGGGGCUUAAGUUGUCGUGAAGCAUACGAAACAACUCUUCCCUCCUGUAUAAGCACUGCUCCAAGUCCUCGACGUGAAGCGUCACAAUACACCUCGUAAUCCUUGCGCUAAUCUGGCAGAAUCAACACUGGCGAGGUAACCAAACGUUUCUUCAACUCCUGGAAACUGGCCUCACAUUCCUCAGUCCAUAUGAACUUGGUAUCCUUCUUCAACAACUCCGUCAUAGGUUUUGCAAUUUUUGAGAAAUUCUCUAUGAAUCUCCGGUAGUAUCCUGCAAGUCCAAGAAAACUCCGGAUCUCUCCAACUGUUGUUGGGGCUUUCCAAUUUGUCACAGUGACAACCUUGGUGGGAUCUACUACUAUUCCUUCUCCGGAUAUAACAUGUCCGAGGAAUCCAACUUCUUUCGACCAAAACUCACAUUUGCUGAACUUAGCGUAUAACUGAUGUACUCUGAGCUUACCAAGUACCAAAUGCAAAUGUUCUUUAUGUUCUUCUUCAUUAUUCGAGUAAACUAGUAUAUCAUCAAUGAACACUAAGAUGAACUUAUCCAAAAACUCCAUAAACACUUUGUUCAUCAUGUUCAUGAAAUAUGUAGGUGCGUUAGUCAGACCAAAGGAUAUAACGGUAUACUCAUACAGCCCGUACCUGGUGGUAAAAGCUGUCUUAGGUAUAUCCUGCUCUCGAAUCUUCAACUGGUGGUAUCCUGAUCGCAAAUCAAUCUUGGAAAAUACCUUUGCUCCUUGCAAUUGGUCAAACAGAUCAUUGAUCAUGGGCAGUGGGUACUUAUUCUUGAUCGUCACUUCAUUCAAUCCUCGAUAAUCAACAACCAUCAUUAAUGAUCCAUCCUUCUUUUCCACUAGAAGUACUGGCGAUCCCCAAGGUGACGAACUUGGGAGAAUAUAUCCCUUAUCCAGUAACUCCUUAAUCUGCUUCUUAAUCUCCUCCAAAUCCUUUGCAGGCAUUCUAUACGGUCUCUUCGAUAUUGGUCCUGUGCCUGGCAAAAUCUCAAUCAAAAACUCAAUGUCCGUAUCUGGUGGCAUGCCUGGCAACUCUUCUGGAAAUACAUUCGGAAAAUCCUUUACCACCGGUACUCCCUACUGUACAACUCCUGUUAAGGAAUUUACUUGAGUCCUAUUCGGCACAUGCCGCGAUACAUACUUGAUCCUUCUUCCUUCUAGGGUGGUAAGCAAAAUCGACUUACUGGCGCAAUCGAUGUUUCCUCCAUACAUCGAUAGCCAAUCCAUACCCAGAAUUACAUCCAAACCUUGUGAUUCCAAAAUGAUUAAAUCCGAGGGGAAAACAUGCCUACCUAUACUCAAUGGCACUUGAAAACAUCCUUUACUGGCCAUAUACUCCGCUCCUGGUGAGCUUACUAACAUAGGUGUUCUAAGAACCUUGGUGGGCAGCUUAUACUUAUCCAUGAAUCCCCUUGAUAUGUAUGAAUGCGAUGCACCAGUAUCAAAAAGAACGAUUGCAGUAAAUGACUUAACCAAAAACUUACCUAUUACUGCAUCUAGCUGGGCUUCAACCUCCUCCAUGUUAACAUGAUUCACCUGUCCCCUGUUGAAAGGGUUCGGCUUCUUCCCUGAGGUUCCAUUGCCAUUUCCAUUCUGGGCUUCAGGACAUUCAUUGGCGUAAUGUCCAGUCUUCUGGCAUUUAUAGCAAGUGACUUGGCGCACGUCUCUCUUGGCUGGUGUUGAUGGGUUGGUACGGUUCUGGCCGUUGCUUCCUCCAUUCCCAUUACCAUUCUUGGGGCCAUUCUGAUUGUGCGAGCUACCUCCUCCAUGGGUAUGCUGGAAAUGUCCUGCCGAUUUUGAGGUAAAACGUGGCUUCUGAUGAGCUCCAGAAUUGUACUUCCCUUGUCCAUACUUCCUCUUGCGGUUCUCAAUCUGUUGCUGCUUCCCUUCAAUCAUAAGAGCACGAUCUACCAACUCCUGGUAGUUGUUGAAAGUUGCUACCAUCAACUGCAUGCUCAACUCAUCAUUCAAACCUUCCAGAAACUUCUCCUGCUUAGUUGCAUCCGUAGCAACGUCAUCUAGGGCAUAACAUGAUAGCUUACUAAAGUCAUCCACAUACUGGCCAAAGGUCCGUCCUCCUUGGCGCAAGUUGUGAAACUCACGCUUCUUCAAGGCCAUAGCUCCUGUUGAAACAUGGGCAGUACGGAAAGCUUGCUGAAAUUGGUCCCAUGUCACCGUGGCUAUAGGGUAGGUGAUAGUGUAAUUCUCCCACCAUGAUGCUGCUGGUCCAUCCAACUGAUGUGCGGCAAAGCACACCUUCUCAACAUCAGUACAUCCUGUAGUGGUUGACUCCCUUCCAAUCUCGCGGAGCCAAUCAUCUGCUACUAUAGGCUCGGUGCUACUAGAGAACACCGACGGAUUCAGCCUAAGAAAACGGGUUAAGUGAUCAACAGGUGGUGGCGGUGGUGGGUUGUUGUUGUUGGUCCCCUGAUUUUUAUUCUGGACUAGCAACUUCAUCAACAUAUUCUACUGCUGGAUCUACUGAGUGAGCUCCGAUGGAAAUGCAAAUCCAUUGUCACGUCUCGGAGGCAUCUGAUAGGUUUAGAAAAGAUGAGAAUAUAAGAUAGAAUGAGGUCUAGAGAGAAAACACUACCCAUAUGCACAUGAGGCAAAUGCAAACAAAAUCACUUCAUUCAAUCAAAUAAGGGCAUACAACGGUCUAUCUAUCGUUACAAAAGUGCUCGAGCUAUACUAGAUACAUGGGAGAAUACUACUACUGAUAUGGUGGUCGACUAGAAAAACUGCUCCGAUGAAGACUCCAUGAUAUCUGCUCCAGCCUCAUCAACAUAGUCAUCAUCGCUAUCGUCUAGGUCCGAGUCGGUGUUGUCGAUGAUGAUGUAGUUCUCUGGACAAGUGCAAUCAUCUUCUCCUCCAGUUGCGGGAAAUCCCAUGAACAGUUUUAGCUUCUUCUUCAGAUCAUCAUUCUUCUCCACUAGUGUUGCUAUUUCCUCCACAUAUCCAUCGCGUGUAGACUUGAGUUCUUCCUCCAGCUCCGUGAUCUUGGUCAUGGCCUUUUUCAGGUCUAUCAUGCCUGCGCACAUCUGGUUCUCCUGGCGUUGAAUGUGCUGGUUUAACUCCUGGAUGAAAGCUGCAAUUGAUCUAUCCUUCCUGGUGCUGGUCAUCUCCCGUUGCUCAUCUCGGCGCCCACAAAUAUGGUAGAUAGUAUCCUUGAGAUCCUUGUGGUAAAUUUCUCCAAUGCGCCCCAUAGUGAUGUGGGCUGUCAUGCUCUUUCCUAGACUCCAGGUUGGUGCAUCAAAGGAAAACUCUAUGGGCUCAAUGACAGGCAUGAACGUCCUUCUUGGAACUUGAACUUGAAUCAUCCAGCGUUCCUCUUCAGGUAAAGUGGCGUUGUAGGUCCCGGUGAAGCUUGGUACUCCGAUGUUCAGGUAUCUAGUGACUUCCUUCAAGUGACGUCCAAAGGGUGUAUCUUCAUCCGGUUGCGUGAACUUGUUCCUUGCAUCCGCCAUCCUAAAAGAGUAGAAUAGAUGAGGAGUCAGAAAUGAGAAGAGUGAGUAGUGAUCUAGGGCUUUUAGCUUAGUGGUCGUGUCCUACAGUCAGCAUGUGCUCUGAUACCAUCUUGUAGCGACCAGACCUCAAACAGUCCGAUCUCUGUGCUUCAGUGUCAUCCCUGGAUCAGUAAUGCUGACAUGCACAGUACUUGAAGGAUUUAUAACAGAGUAGCAAUCACACACUUAUUACAUCGAAUGUCUCAAAAGAGAACUUAUUACAAUAAAUAUGGCUUAAGGCCAUCUAAUAACGAUAACAGCGGAAGGCUUGGAAGAUAAGUGAGUCCAUCAACUCCAACAUCAUCACUGAGUAUAGAACCACGACCUAAAGGCACCUUACUCGUCGUCUGAAAAGUCUGCAACAUGAACGUUGCAGCCCGAAAACGGGUCAGCACAUGGAAUAUGCUGGCAACUAACACAUAGAGAAUAGUGAACAGAAUAGGCUAUACUACAUGCAUAUAUGGCUGGUGGAAAGCACUAUGGUUAUAGUUUUGCGUAAAGCCAGUUUUUCCCUACUACAAAGGAAUACAUUUUAUUUAACUAUCAUGGUGGUUGUUAAACAUUGAGAGUGUAGACGCCCUCUCAAUCCCAAUUAAACAUCAACAUUAAAACCCAACAAAAUUAAUUAAAGUCACACGAUGAGAUUCACAUGAUAAUCCAAGUACUAGAUACUCAAAACUAUCCAUAACCGAGGACACAUCUAACCAUGAUUAGUUUAUACACUCUGCAAAGGUUUGCGCACUUUUCCCCACAAGACUCGAUCUCCUCCGUUGGGAUUCUCGCACUACAUGGUGUUUGAGAAAACGGAUGAACGAGAGAUAGUCUUUCAGAAGCGCUAGCACCUUACGAUCGGGAAGACCGUUACACCUACUUUCCCCUACAUCUGCUAGUCUACCACUAUAAGAGUUCGCACGACUUAAUCAACUAUGCUAGAUCCCAUAGUAGCUUGUGGCUGCACAUGGAAGUUUCUAGAAUGAAUAAUCUCACGAUCCCUUUGAGCCUGGGUGGCGGUCCAUAAAGAAAAACAGGCAAUCGCUGGAAUACCCAGGUGCCUCAAUCCACCCAGAAGUGUAUUUAAGUUGCCACCUUAAGUUGAACCAUUAAUUAACAAUCUCACAUAUGUCAUGGAUACACUCAAACCCAAUCCAUGUCUACAAGCAUAGCAUGGCAAUAUAAGAAAACGUAGAAGUAACUCCCAAGGGUUUGAUUAUAAAAUAGGUAAUAGGUACUACCUCAUAUACUUCCCAAAACCCACAUAUUAACCAGAUCCUAUUCAUGCAAAUGUUUGUGGAUUGAUCUAAUGCAAUAAAACAGGGUAGUGAGAGGUAUGAUCCAAGUGUUACUUGCCUUGCUGAUGAUCCACGAAACCUAGAAAUUCGAAGUAGCAAGCGGCGCACUCCGGGUACUCUAACGCAAACAAACAAACAAGCAUACAAUAAGUACUGAUCUAAUGCACAGGUAAAACUCAAAUAAGAUAUCUAACCAGAUAUUUCAACUUAUGAACUCUGGUUUGGAAAAAGAAACAAAUCAAACGAAACGACGGAAAGCAAACGGCGAAAGAAACAAGCUUCAUUUACUAAUCUGGAUCUAAGUCAAAUUUUACAGAAGCAAAAACUUGUUUGAGUUAGUUAAACGGAAAGAGGGUUUCGAGACGAAACUCUAGGCGCUUGAAUCGCCCGAUUCCGAUAAACGAACGAAAAGUUAAACUAAAAAUAAAAAUCGGAUUAGAAAUCGCGAUCAGAAAUAAUCACGGGAAAAUCCGAGAAAAAGAAAAAUGGCGAACAGGCUAACGAACGAACGUUCGCUGUCUGCGGCUAAACGACGAAUACUGUUCAUUAAAACGAACGAAAAAGUGGUAGUUCGCUAAAUAACUAAACCGACAAAAAUAAACCGAACCGGAUCUAAAAAAAUAGAUCAAGGUUUUCAAAAAAAACGAUCGGUUUUCUUUGCGAAAACCGAGGCAACGGCGGCAACCUCGGGCGGCUCCGGUGCGGCGGCGCGGGGCGGCGGGUGGCGGNNNNNNNNNNNNNNNNNNNNNNNNNNNNNNNNNNNNNNNNNNNNNNNNNNNNNNNNNNNNNNNNNNNNNNNNNNNNNNNNNNNNNNNNNNNNNNNNNNNNNNNNNNNNNNNNNNNNNNNNNNNNNNNNNNNNNNNNNNNNNNNNNNNNNNNNNNNNNNNNNNNNNNNNNNNNNNNNNNNNNNNNNNNNNNNNNNNNNNNNNNNNNNNNNNNNNNNNNNNNNNNNNNNNNNNNNNNNNNNNNNNNNNNNNNNNNNNNNNNNNNNNNNNNNNNNNNNNNNNNNNNNNNNNNNNNNNNNNNNNNNNNNNNNNNNNNNNNNNNNNNNNNNNNNNNNNNNNNNNNNNNNNNNGGGGCGGCUGCGGUGCGGCUCGGGCCCUCGCAGCUUUAAAUCCCGGCCGGGCCAACUGUCCUAGUCGGACACGGCCCGGUUAGGUCGGUCCGUUUUUUAAAUAAUUUGACGUGCAGAAAAAGAAAGAAAAGAAAUACUAAAUGGACCCCAAAAAUCCCGAAAUAAUUUUUCACCAACUUCUAAAAUCAAGCCGGACAAAGUAAACAUUUAUUUGGGGCAUAAAUACAAUUUUGUAAAACGCGCAUUUUUCCUAAAUUCAAAUAAAACAGCGAAAAACUCCAAAAUAAAAUCCUCAAUAUUUCUUUAUUUUUGGAAAGUCAUUUUAUUCCCUCUCACUUAUUUUUAUAAUUGAAAUAAUUGAAGAUAAAAUAAAUAAAAUCAAAUGAUCCUAUUUUCAAAACUGGAGAAAACUCAAAUAUGAAAAUAAUGAAAUCCCCAACUCUCUCCGUGGGUCCUUGAGUUGCGUAGAAUUUUUGGAUCAGGCCCAAAAGCAAUAAAAUAUGAUAUGCAAUGAUGAUCUAAUGUAUAACAUUCCAAAUUGAAAAAUUUGGGAUGUUACAUCACGCCAGCGCGACGACACACGAGUCACCGCGGCCGCGCUCACCCCUCGGCAUGCCGCGGCUAUAUAUAGGCCUCCCCCGAGCCGUUCAAGCACACCAGCAGCCUCACUACUCUCCCCUAGACCUUUCCGACCAGUCAACCGAGCCGGAGAGCCUCUCCUGCCCCUCCCAUGGCCGAAGCCUCGCCGCCGGCCUCUGCUUAAAUUCGGCCGAACCGAGCACUCCCUCAUCAUUCUGUCGCCACCAGAGGCCUCUCCACUACCCCCUAGCCUCCCCAUCCCCUCGCCUAGUCGCCGGAGUAGGCAUGGCCGCACUUCCCCCAGGAUCGGCCGCCGCCCGGUUCUCUGUUGCCACGGCCACCUCGUGCUCCAUCCCUCCCUGGCGCCCGCAGCGUGCCCAGAUGGAUGUGCCGCUCCUCGCUGGUCUCGUCGGUGGCCUUGGCAUAGCCGGGGACUGCCGGAGCUGUCGGGGCAGUCGCCGGCGUCGCCUCUCCCCUGUCCCUCCUCUGCUUCGGUCGGGCCAGCGGGAGGAAAAAGGAGACAGGAGCCAGGCGGGCCCCGCUCCUCCUCCCUGACCCCACCCGUCAGCCGCACCCACCCGGUCCCGCCUCUGCGCGUUGACCUGGUCGGUCGACGUGGAUAAGUGACAGGCCCCGCCCCGUGGGACCCGCACGUCAGUGACCCAUGCCCAGCCCCGCCACUAUCCACGUGGUUAAGUGGAAACGCAUUUCCCAGAGUACAUUUUCUUCCGACAAAAGCGUAUUCUUCCUUUCUUUUAUCUAAACUAUGUUUUCCCUUCUGGAAAGCGUAUUACUCUCUUCUGCGGCUAAAAAGGCGUUUUCUGUUACAGAAAACGUAUUCAACCCGAAGGCGCUUUCUGUUUUUCUGUCCAGGCCCAGAUUUUGAAGUUUUUCAUUACAUAUGGGUCCCUCGCAGAAAACACCUCAUAUCUUUUUAACCACAACUCCAAAUGAGGUGAUUCCAAAGCCCACUUCUUCGUUUCAUCAAACCCGUUCUGAUGGAACCAUUUUCACCAUGUUUUGACAUUCUAAAAAUGACCAUUUUGCCCCUGCCCUUAUUCAGCCCCCUCCGAGAGAGUAUGUUUUCUGGCGAUCCUUUCCGCGAGUUUCUCGCACUUCCUCCCGGUGAUUUCUUCCACCGCAGGCAAGCCACACCCUCCAUUUGCAUGAUUGCAAUGCAGUGACAUGGUUUAAAUUAUGUAAACUCAUUUAAAAUAUUGCUUUAGCUACAUGACUUUGUGCAUGGCAAUUUCUUAGAGUUGUAUUUUGAUCUUGUUAUUGCCAUGAUGUUGCUUGGAGUUCUAGGACUUUUAUUUUGCAGCUUAUGUGGUUGACAUGUUGCCAUUGGAUUAUUAGUGGCUUAUGUUAUGAUGGUGGUGUUGGGUAUGAUAUUUUUGGAGUAUUUGCUUUGGAUGUCAUACUACCUUUGGAUUAUUAGUGGUUAGUAUGAUUAUUUUCAUGAUGGUACCUGUCAUUAUAUUUUGGAGUAUUACUUUGGAUAUCAUACUGCCUUUGGAUUGUUAGUGGUUAGUAUUAUUAUUUUCAUGAUGGUACCUGUCAUUAUAUUUUGGAGUAUUACUUUGGAUAUCAUGCUGCCUUUGGAUUAUUAGUGGUUAGUAUGAUUAUUUUCAUGAUGCUAGUUGAUGUUCUGUUACUUGGAGUAUUAUUUUUGGAGAUGAUGUUUACAUAUGGAUCUUAGCCGAAUAGCUUUAUUCUUGUUAUUGGAGUAGUAGGAGUAUUGUUUUCGGAUUCAUCAUGACAGUAGUGUUGUGCUAUCCUUGGAGUAUUUUGAGAUGAUGAUAUUAUGCUUGGAUUAUUUGUUGGAUAUUGCUAUGAUUUGGAUUAUAGUUUUAUAGUUGAUAUUGGAGUAGCAGUUACCAUAGCUAUAUUCUUGGGGAUAGAUUCCGUCACUAAGUUGGUCAGGUGCUGCCGAUCCGGGCUUUUCCAGUGCAACCACAUUUUCCUUUAUGGGAAGGCCCUAAUGCGGUCUAUUAUCGUGCCUCUCGCCGGUGCCUCCAACUAGGGAAGGUUACGGGCGUGCGUACCCUGGCCCGGUAAGCAGACAUAACCUUGUGUGCCCGUAGUUGGAUUUUGCGCGCGUGUCCCUGAGCGGGAGUGUCCCCGAGUGGGAGUGUUUUAACCAUGACGGUGGUCGGGGUGUCUUUGGUAGACACGGGGCCACCUAGGACUAGCCCAGUUGGGAGUGGGUCGGAGUGGCCGGGAGAGCGUCAUGGCAGUAGACCAGUUUUGUCGGAACGCCGUUGGUCCACCCGAAUGGGAGUACGAGGCCAUGGGUUCUGUGGUGUGGGUACAGUGUGCUACCUCUGCAGAGUGUAUUUAAUCUAUCGAUAGUAGCGUCCGUACUAGGUCCCACGGUUCAAUCAACACUCACAUGACGGAAUAACUUAUAGGUGAUUUAUAGUUGAUAUGUUGAGCAGUACAGAUUGGCAGGAUGUUGAUGAUGAGGUUGGAUACCAAGUGUUGGUCAUGGUUGUGAUCGCCGGAAAGAUCAUAGUUUGAGACCAAGCGUUGGUCAUGGUAGUGAUCGCCGGAAAGAUCAUCGUAUGGUUUCGAUCAUGAGUAGAUCGAGAGGGUAUAUUGCUUGGCGGUUAGCCAAGAGAGAUAUGGUUAUGGAGAUCUGAGAUGGUGAUGUAUCAACAUUGUAUUAGUUUAUCUCAUGCUUAGUAGUUGCUUCAUCAUGGUAGUUGCUAAUUAAUUAACCUGUUGAUGCUAUGUUAUUGUCUUUCCCUGAUGUUUAUGGUUGUUGUGAGCUUGCAAGUACAUUCAAUAUACUAACCUGGCGUGUCAUGCUAGAUUGCAGGUGAUGCCGUGAUUGCUUGAUUGCUUGUCGUGGUUUCCGCUCAUGCGAGCUAGAUCGUGUCCCGGCCAGAGUCCCUGUGGAGUGGAGUUCACCACCUUCGUCAUUGUUCCGCUGUUACGAGAUGUUCCGCUGCUAGCAUAGAGCAAGUGUAGUAUCGCAGGCGUAGUGUCGCCAUGCCGAUGUGAU